rnacentral:rRNA from 1 species
CCUACGGGAGGCAGCAGUGAGGAAUAUUGGUCAAUGGGCGAGAGCCUGAACCAGCCAAGUCGCGUGAGGGAGUACUGCCCUAUGGGUUGUAAACCUCUUUUGUCGGGGAGCAAAAGCCGGACGUGUCCGGCUGUGAGAGUACCCGAAGUAAAAGCAUCGGCUAACUCCGUGCCAGCAGCCGCGGUAAUACGGGGGAUGCGAGCGUUAUCCGGAUUUAUUGGGUUUAAAGGGUGCGCAGGCGGAUUUUUAAGUCAGCGGUAAAAUCGUGGGGCUCAACCCCAUCCAGCCGUUGAAACUGGGGAUCUAGAGUGUGCGAGAGGUAUGCGGAAUGCGUGGUGUAGCGGUGAAAUGCAUAGAUAUCACGCAGAACCCCGAUUGCGAAGGCAGCAUACCGGUGCACAACUGACGCUCAGGCACGAAAGCGUGGGUAUCGAACAGGAUUAGAUACCCUAGUAGUC